rnacentral:rRNA from 1 species
GACGAACGCUGGCGGCGUGCUUAACACAUGCAAGUCGAACGGAAAGGCCCUGCUUUUGUGGGGUGCUCGAGUGGCGAACGGGUGAGUAACACGUGAGUAACCUGCCCUUUACUUUGGGAUAACUUCAGGAAACUGGGGCUAAUACCGGAUAGGAGCUCCUGCUGCAUGGUGGGGGUUGGAAGAUUCGGCGGUUUGGGAUUGGCUUGGGGGUUAUGAGCUUGGUUGUCGGGGAGGGGCUUACCAAGGCUUUGGCGGGGAGGCCGCCCGAGAGGGGGACCGGCCACAAUGGGACUGAGAUACGGAGCAGACUCCUACGGGAGGCAGCAGUGGGGAAUAUUGCACAAUGGGCGGAAGCGUGAUGCAGCAACGCCGCGUGCGGGAUGACGGCCUUCGGGUUGUAAACCGCUUUCGCCUGUGACGAAGCGUGAGUGACGGUAAUGGGUAAAGAAGCACCGGCUAACUACGUG